rnacentral:tRNA from 2 species
CGGGACGUGGCUCAGCCUGGUAGAGCGCUGCGUUCGGGACGCAGAGGUCGCUGGUUCGAAUCCAGUCGUCCCGAUCA